rnacentral:lncRNA from 1 species
AUGCACAUCAUCGUUUGUGUGUCCAUUACUUCCAGAGUCUGUUGUUUCAGGGCACCUGAAAGGAAGGUGAGGGCUGGCACAGUACAGUUCAACCUUCUCCGACUCCCUGGUGCUCCUCAGCCUGCCCACCUCCUCCCGAAGCUCUGCCAGGAGGCUGAGCAGUUCUUCUACCUGGGCGCACCUACCACAGGUGGACUCACAGGAUGGGAUGUCAGGAAGAAUUUCUUCAUGCAAAGGGUGGAACCGGCUGCCCAGGGCACUGCUGGAGUCCCAGGCCUGGAGCUAUUAAAGAAAUGCGUGGACUUGGCGCUAAGGGCCGUGGUUUUGUGGUGGGCCUGGUGGUGUUAGCUGACGCUUGGACUUGAGCUGAAGGCCCUUUUCCAAGCGCAAGGGUUCUGUGACUCUUUCACUGGUUGAGUAGGCGCCAUGCAGUCACCGGGCCCAGGGAAAAGACGUCCUUGGUGGCCUCCAAGUUAGCUCAGCGUCAUGGCACCGAGUCACUGUGAAGGAGCUGCUGGAAUAACGAGACAACAACCUAGUUCUAUUCAAAUAUAUAUUGCUCUUUUGAGGACUGCUGCGGGGCUAGCAGCACCACAGCAGUGGAAAUCUCCGUCCUGACAUUGCCUUAUGCCUUGACGUCAGGAUCAGGGUGGUUUGAACUGCCAGGGAAUGGACCAUGGGUUCUGGGUCUUUAUAUGAAGGCUGGAGGACUGCAAAAGAAAGAAGAGCAGAGAUGAAAACCCACUCCUUGCAGAGAUCCCCAGGCAUCCCCUGCAGACCAUGCCAGCCCCACUCGACUCUUCCCCAGGCCAGGAGGAGCAGGAGGGACAAAGGAAUCCGUUGAAAGCUGCUGCUCAGCAAUGUCCCAAAUGCAGCCACCAGUCCUUCCCCACCUGCGCACCACAGGUCAAGUGGGGCACCUUCACAAGCUGGUUCCCUCACCACCUGCCUCCAUCCCUUGGGAGGAUUCACACACUCCAGGAAUCUCCUGGACUCUUUCCUCUCGCUAUUGUGCUUCCCCAUGAGAGCAAGGGCUAGCAAUCGUGACCCUGCUCCUAGCUGCUUGUAGGCUGUCUCAUCUCCCUCUUCGUCCUGGUUGCGUGCUCUACAACAGGCUCCCACCUUCUGUCAGCCUUACUGCCCUUUCCCCUGACUCUUCCUCAGGGACACUCAACCCUUUCAGCGGCACUGCCCAGCUCCAGGCUGGGAGGCCAUUCCCUGACACCACAGGCUACCCCGUCUCCUCUCCCUCGUUCCUAUGGCUGCAUUGCUCCUCCGCCCCGAAGCAUUUCCCUGGAGCAGGGCAAGGCACGGGGGCCUCUGCCGCUGUCCCCCCAGCCCUAGCACACCCCCCACUGCCCUCACUCACCUCUGAGGAUUUCAUUCAGCUUCUCCUCGCUCUGGUCCUUGCAUUAGUGCGCAGCAACGCCCUAGAUUCGCCAAAGAUUUUAAACUCAACUUCUUUGUGAUUGCUAUGACCAAAAUAGCUAGCAAUCACCACUUCCCAUGUGGCUGCCCCCUCUGAGGUUUUUUUUUUUUUUUUUGUAUAUAUGAAGAAAGGUUUGGGCUAAUUUCAGUUGAAAUAUUUUCAGUUGCUUGCUUGGCCAUAUUGUCCUUUCAAUGUUGAAAUCUGAAGCAAAACCACGGGAAUUGUUGCUUCUAGGAGUAGCCCAGUUCUCUUGUCUGCACUCUGCAUUCUAUUGAUCUAAACCAUAUUUAAAACCAAACCAAACUAAACAAACAAACAAACAAACAAACAAAAAACAUCUGCUGCUCUUCCUGCUCUCUUUGUCUCUUUCUCCCUUCUUUUGCUUUGCCCUUCCCCUUUCCCAGGUGACUGGAGUGGAGUGCUAGGCAGGGUCUAAUGGUAUACGAGUCCCAGGCAUCCCAUCAGAGCUCCUUAUGCCUGAGCUGCUCUUUAGGGUAAGUGCUUUGUUUUUCCUUUAGCUGGUUGCAGGAUUCUUUAGGUGGGUCAGAGUCUGUGGGCUGAUGCAUUUCCAAGUUGAGAGAGGUAAGCAAGUCUUUUUGAGGUAACAGCUAGUAGGAGCUUUUAGAGUAAAGCAAUCUAUAUAGUAGUAGGUGCCUUUAUUGCAUGCAGCUCUUCUUCAGAUGAGUAAUUAUUAUAGCAUGUUUACGGAUAGGAUGACGAUGUUACUUUGUGUGUUUGCUUUGUGCUUCUAGGUCCCUUGUGAUGUUUCCAGAAUAACAGGGCUUACUGUGAAUGUGACCUUAUGUCUUCACUUGUGUGUCGAAUACUGUCAAAGUUACAGCCUUGGUGGUAAAGUGAUACAUGCAGAGCAGGGCUUAGGGAAAAUGUAUCAUCCAAGUUCCCUGUGCCAGUAUGUAUCUGAAAACAGCAGCAGUAGGCACCUAAGGUGUAGUCUUUUUCAGGGUUAGGAACAGUUUGUUAUAUUUUUGGAGCUUUUUCCUGCUGUUUUGCUGGCUGUAUAUUUUUUAGACCUUGUAGCCUGCUAGAUUCUAAGUGCUUGGAAUUCCCUUAGUAGAGGGAUAUUUAGCAGAGGUUGCUGGCUAACUUGGUUUUGGGACACGGUGGGGUACGCUUCUGGUUUUGGGUUAUGUUUUAAUCUCAAGAUAGAUCAAGCCAUUUGUGUAACUCUCCAGAGGAUUCACAAAGAGCUUCAGUACGCACCGCAAGAGUCUUGACCACAUAGGCACAAUAUUACCAAGAGACUGAGCAGGGUCACCUUUUUCAGCUGUAAAGGAUAAGUCUGUGAUUCCCUCUGUUGGGGCUGCUGUGUAUUCAUGGCCUUUUGGCAUUUGUGGACCUAAGGGUUUUUUUUCUGUCUCUGGUCUCUGCGCUUGAGUCCUCUGCAAGGAGCUGUGCUGUUUGCGUGUCCAUCAUGGAUAUGACCAUCUCUCUUUGUUUCUCAUAGCCCCGGGCAUAGGCAAUUUGAACAAGGCAUGAGGAUGAGUGGAUGACACUGUGGGCCAUGAGUUGGUCAGUUGGUUUUGUUAGUCUGUUUUGCCUGGCAGGCAGGCUUAGCAAGCACCUUGUGAUGGCAGCAUUCAUCUUCUGCCAUGUUCCUGUGUCACGCCAGGCAUCAGCGGUUCCAGUUCCUGAAAUGCUGGAGAUGCUGGGAGUGCUAGAGGAGCUGGGAGCGUGAUGCAUCUCCUUGGGAUGUUAGGUGAGCGAAGCAGUGGUACUGGGUUGGGGCACGUGGCUCUGGGGCUUCUUGGCUGUUGGGGUAGGGGAGAAAACAAGAGGGGUGGGUAUAGGCUGUUUUGUGGAUUGUCACAUUUGUCUGUUCUUUCUCUUUGGUCUAACCUAUGUGACCUUGGCUUGGCAUGGUGAAUGGAUGCACUAAACCUUGAUCGCGAAGGUGAGUGGAGAAAAGAUGGAAAAUGGGAAUGGUUUUUGGUUUGGUAGUCUAUCAGUCCACCUCUGGGUGACUCCUCUUUUCAGGGGAUGAAGAAGAAUCUGUCGACAUCCUAGUUGGCCUCUGUGGUCCACACUGAGGAUGGAUUCUGACCCCUGAGAAUUAAAUCAAGGGGCAAAUACUGUGUGUUGGGAGUGGUUGGCAGGGGGCGGCGGGGAGUUGUCCAGCAAGUUGUCUAUCUGACUUGAGUAGCAGAGCAGGUCAGUUGACUACCGUUCUGCUUCUGAGGAGGGUGUUACAUUGGAAGAAGUUUGGCUGGUGUGCCAGUUCCUGAUGGCCCUUUAUUUCUGCAGGUGAAGAGGAGCCUCGUACCUGAAGCCAUGUUGUGGGAAUAGAAAUGUUGUUUUUGCAGAGUUACGCUGUUUAGAAGGAGGGAAUGUGGUACUGAGAUAUGCUUAGUGAUAAGACGGUUUAGCAGGCGACCUAGUAAAAUGCAGACAAGCAGACUCCUUAGGACAAUUAGGUGAAAAUCACGGUGUCAAGUCAAGUCAGAUAAGUGAAGAAACAUUACCACUUCAAGCAGUAAAAAUGUCAAAAGAAAUUUGAAAUUUAGCAGGCCGGCAACUGAAGGCCAUGCGUUGUUUGUGAAGCAUCAGAUAGAUUGUGAACCUGGAUUACCCACUCAGUGGGGAAACAGGGGAGGGUCCUGCCAUCAAAAGGUAUAUAAACUGUGUUUUGGAACUAGUAGAUGCGCUCUCUCCUGCUUGUGGGGCGCCCGCCAUUGCAAUCGCGAAUAAAUUACUACUUCACUGAGAUCCUCGCCUGAGC